rnacentral:rRNA from 1 species
UGAGGGAAUAUUUGGGGUCAAUGGGCGAGAGCCUGAACCAGCCAAGUAGCGUGCAGGAUGACGGCCCUACGGGUUGUAAACUGCUUUUAUGAAGGAAUAAAGUCACCCACGUGUGGGUGUUUGCAUGUACUUUAUGAAUAAGGACCGGCUAAUUCCGUGCCAGCAGCCGCGGUAAUACGGAAGGUCCGGGCGUUAUCCGGAUUUAUUGGGUUUAAAGGGAGCGUAGGCCGGAGAUUAAGCGUGUUGUGAAAUGCCGCGGCUCAACCGUGGCACUGCAGCGCGAACUGGUUUCUUGAGUGCGCGCGACGCAGGCGGAAUUCGUGGUGUAGCGGUGAAAUGCUUAGAUAUCACGAGGAACCCCGAUUGCGAAGGCAGCUUGCGGGAGCGCAACUGACGCUGAAGCUCGAAGGGUGCGGGGUAUCGAACA